rnacentral:rRNA from 1 species
GACGAACGCUGGCGGCGUGCUUAACACAUGCAAGUCGAACGAUGAAGCCGGAGCUUGCUCUGGUGAAUUAGUGGCGAACGGGUGAGUAACACGUGAGUAACCUGCCCUUGACUCUGGGAUAACUGCGGGAAACUGUAGCUGAUACCGGAUACGACCCUCGGAGGCAUCUCCUGGGGGUGGAAAGAAUUUCGGUCAAGGAUGGACUCGCGGCCUAUCAGCUAGUUGGUGAGGUAAAGGCUCACCAAGGCGACGACGGGUAGCCGGCCUGAGAGGGUGACCGGCCACACUGGGACUGAGACACGGCCCAGACUCCCACGGGAGGCAGCAGUGGGGAAUAUUGCACAAUGGGCGCAAGCCUGAUGCAGCAACGCCGCGUGAGGGAUGACGGCCUUCGGGUUGUAAACCUCUUUUAGCAGGGAAGAAGCGAAGGUGACGGUACCUGCAGAAAAAGCACCGGCUAACUACGUGCCAGCCGCCGCCGCAG